UCGAGGGGCAGCAUGGUGGUAGCCUGCUACCACCGAUGGCGACCGGCGCACGGGUGAGUAACACGUAUCCAACCUGCCGUCAGCUUGGGGAUAGCCCUCUGAAAGGAGGAUUAAUACCCGAUGUGGUUGUGUUCCUGCAUGGGGAUGCAAUUAAAGAUUCAUCGGCUGUCGAUGGGGAUGCGUCUGAUUAGCUUGUUGGCGGGGUAACGGCCCACCAAGGCACCGAUCAGUAGGGGUUCUGAGAGGAAGGUCCCCCACAUAGGAACUGAGACACGGUCCUAACUCCUACGGGAGGCAGCAGUGAGGAAUAUUGGUCAAUGGACGUAAGUCUGAACCAGCCAAGUAGCGUGAAGGAUGACUGCCCUACGGGUUGUAAACUUCUUUUAUGGGAGAAUAAAGUGAGGUACGCGUACCUUAUUGUACGUAUCCUAUGAAUAAGCAUCGGCUAAUUCCGUGCCAGCAGCCGCGGUAAUACGGAAGAUGCGAGCGUUAUCCGGA
rnacentral:rRNA from 1 species